UUGGAGAGUUUGAUCCUGGCUCAGGACGAACGCUGGCGGCGUGCUUAACACAUGCAAGUCGAACGAAGAGCGAUGGAAGCUUGCUUCUAUCAAUCUUAGUGGCGAACGGGUGAGUAACGCGUAAUCAACCUGCCCUUCAGAGGGGGACAACAGUUGGAAACGACUGCUAAUACCGCAUACGAUCUGACCUCGGCAUCGAGGAUAGAUGAAAGGUGGCCUCUAUUUAUAAGCUAUCACUGAAGGAGGGGAUUGCGUCUGAUUAGCUAGUUGGAGGGGUAACGGCCCACCAAGGCGAUGAUCAGUAGCCGGUCUGAGAGGAUGAACGGCCACAUUGGGACUGAGACACGGCCCAGACUCCUACGGGAGGCAGCAGUGGGGAAUCUUCCGC
rnacentral:rRNA from 1 species